GUGUGACCAGCGCACCUCACACUCCUGCUUUCCCCACAGUAAUUGACUGUACCCCAAGGAACUGUAAGCCAGGAUGGUUGUGAGCCACCAAGUAGUUGCUGGGAUUUGAACUCAUGACCUCACUGGCUGCUCAGUACAACAAGGGCGUUGUGCCAUCACCAAGGCCUGCUUCCUCCUGCCCAUGCGAUGUUCCUG